GACGAACGCUGGCGGCGUGCCUAACACAUGCAAGUCUGACGGGAAAGUCUCCUUCGGGAGACCGGUACAGUGGCGGACGGGUGAGUAACGCGUGGGAAUCUACCCGGUAGUGGGGAAUAACCCCCCGAAAGGGGAGCUAAUACCGCAUAAGCCCCAAGGGGUAAAGAUGGCCUCUUUCUAAUGCUAUCGCUUCCGGAUGAGCCCGCGUCCUAUUAGCUAGUUGGUGAGGUAAUGGCUUACCAAGGCUACGAUGGGUAGCCGGUCUGAGAGGAUGAACGGCCACACUGGGACUGAGACACGGCCCAGACUCCUACGGGAGGCAGCAGUGGGGAAUUUUGCGCAAUGGGGGAAACCCUGACGCAGCAACGCCGCGUGGAUGACGAAGGCCUUCGGGUCGUAAAGUCCUGUUCUGGGGAAAGAAUAAGUAAAGGGCCAAUACCCCUUUACCCUGACGGUACCCCAGCAGAAAGCUCCGGCCAAUUAUGUG
rnacentral:rRNA from 1 species